rnacentral:rRNA from 1 species
AACGUAGGAGACAAACGUUAUCCGGAGUUACUGGGCGUAAAGGGCGUGUAGGCGGUUUGUUAAGUCUGGCGUGAAAGCUCUCGGCUAAACCGGGAGAGGUCGUUGGAUACUGGCAAACUAGAGGACGGUAGAGGCGUGUGGAAUUCCGGGUGUAGUGGUGAAAUGCGUAGAUAUCAGGAGGAACACCGGUGGCGAAGGCGCUCAUCUGGCCCAAUACUGACGCUGAGGCGCGAAAGCUAGGGGAGCAAACGGG